AAAAAGGCCGGAAUAGCUCAGUUGGUAGAGCAGAGGACUGAAAAUCCUCGUGUC
rnacentral:tRNA from 1 species